AUAAUAUUCCCUCCAUCUCAAAAUUCUUGUCUUGGAUUUGUUUAGAUAUGCAUGUAUCUAGUCACGUUUUUAGUAUUUAGAUACAUCCAUUUAUAAACAAACCUAAGACAAGAGUUUUGGGACGGAGGGAGUAGUAA
rnacentral:pre_miRNA from 1 species